GCGGCGUGCCUAAUACAUGCAAGUCGAACGGGGAAGUACCUUCGGGUAUUGUACUAGUGGCGUACGGGUGAGUAACACGUGGAUAAUCUGCCCUCAGGUGGGGAAUAACUAACCGAAAGGUUAGCUAAUACCGCAUAAGACCACAAUUUCUACGGAUUUUGAGGUUAAAGGCUUCGGUCGCCCGAGGAUGAGUCCGCGUCCCAUUAGCUAGUUGGUAGGGUAACGGCCUACCAAGGCUUCGAUGGGUAGCUGGUCUGAGAGGAUGAUCAGCCACACUGGGACUGAGACACGGCCCAGACUCCUACGGGAGGCAGCAGUAGGGAAUAUUGCACAAUGGAGGAAACUCCGAUGCAGCGACGCCGCGUGAGUGAUGAAGGCCUUCGGGUUGUAAAGCUCUGUUCUCAGGGAAAAAGAAAGUGAUUGUACCUGAGGAGAAAGGACCGGCUAACUUCGUGCCAGCAGCCGCGGUAAGACGAGGGGUCCUAGCGUUG
rnacentral:rRNA from 1 species